rnacentral:rRNA from 1 species
AGAGUUUGAUCCUGGCUCAGAUUGAACGCUGGCGGCAGGCUUAACACAUGCAAGUCGAACGGGGAGAUGUAGCUUGCUACAUUUCCUAGCGGCGGACGGGUGAGUAAUACCUAGGAAUCUGCCUAUUAGUGGGGGACAACAUUCCGAAAGGAAUGCUAAUACCGCAUACGCCCUACGGGGGAAAGCAGGGGACCUUCGGACCUUGCGCUAAUAGAUAAGCCUAAGUCAGAUUAGCUAGUUGGUAGGGUAAAGGCCUACCAAGGCGACGAUCUGUAGCGGGUCUGAGAGGAUGAUCCGCCACACUGGGACUGAGACACGGCCCAGACUCCUACGGGAGGCAGCAGUGGGGAAUAUUGGACAAUGGGCGCAAGCCUGAUCCAGCCAUGCCGCGUGUGUGAAGAAGGCCUUUUGGUUGUAAAGCACUUUAAGCGAGGAGGAGGCUACUUGGAUUAAUACUCUAGGAUAGUGGACGUUACUCGCAGAAUAAGCACCGGCUAACUCUGUGCCAGCAGCCGCGGUAAUACAGAGGGUGCAAGCGUUAAUCGGAAUUACUGGGCGUAAAGCGCGCGUAGGCGGUAUGUUAAGUCGGAUGUGAAAUCCCUGAGCUUAACUUAGGAAUUGCAUUCGAUACUGGGAAGCUAGAGUAUGGGAGAGGAUGGUAGAAUUCCAGGUGUAGCGGUGAAAUGCGUAGAGAUCUGGAGGAAUACCGAUGGCGAAGGCAGCCUUCUGGCCUAACACUGACGCUGAGGUGCGAAAGCAUGGGGAGCAAACAGGAUUAGAUACCCUGGUAGUCCAUGCCGUAAACGAUGUCAACUAGCCGUUGGGCUCCUUGAGGGCUUAGUGGCGCAGCUAACGCGAUAAGUUGACCGCCUGGGGAGUACGGUCGCAAGACUAAAACUCAAAUGAAUUGACGGGGGCCCGCACAAGCGGUGGAGCAUGUGGUUUAAUUCGAUGCAACGCGAAAAACCUUACCCACCUUUGACAUGUACGGAAGUUGCCAGAGAUGGCUUCGUGCUCGAAAGAGAACCGUAACACAGGUGCUGCAUGGCUGUCGUCAGCUCGUGUCGUGAGAUGUUGGGUUAAGUCCCGCAACGAGCGCAACCCUUGCCAUUAGUUGCUACGAAAGGGCACUCUAAUGGGACUGCCGGUGACAAACCGGAGGAAGGUGGGGAUGACGUCAAGUCCUCAUGGCCCUUAUAGGUGGGGCUACACACGUCAUACAAUGGCCGGUACAAAGGGCAGCCAACCCGCGAGGGGGAGCCAAUCCCACAAAGCCAGUCGUAGUCCGGAUCGCAGUCUGCAACUCGACUGCGUGAAGUCGGAAUCGCUAGUAAUCGUGGAUCAGAAUGUCACGGUGAAUACGUUCCCGGGUCUUGUACACACCGCCCGUCACACCAUGGGAGCGGGUUCUGCCAGAAGUAGGUAGCCUAACCGUAAGGAGGGCGCUUACCACGGCAGGGUUCGUGACUGGGGUGAAGUCGUAACAAGGUAACCGUA